rnacentral:rRNA from 1 species
GAUGAACGCUGGCGGCGUGCCUAAUACAUGCAAGUCGAGCGAACGGACGAGAAGCUUGCUUCUCUGAUGUUAGCGGCGGACGGGUGAGUAACACGUGGAUAACCUACCUAUAAGACUGGGAUAACUUCGGGAAACCGGAGCUAAUACCGGAUAAUAUUUUGAACCGCAUGGUUCAAAAGUAAAAGACGGUCUUGCUGUCACUUAUAGAUGGAUCCGCGCUGCAUUAGCUAGUUGGUAAGGUAACGGCUUACCAAGGCAACGAUGCAUAGCCGACCUGAGAGGGUGAUCGGCCACACUGGAACUGAGACACGGUCCAGACUCCUACGGGAGGCAGCAGUAGGGAAUCUUCCGNCAUGGGCGAAAGCCUGACGGAGCAACGCCGCGUGAGUGAUGAAGGUCUUCGGAUCGUAAAACUCUGUUAUUAGGGAAGAACAUAUGUGUAAGUAACUGUGCACAUCUUUGACGUACCCUAUCAGAAAGCACGGGCUACUACGUGCCAGCAGCCGCGGGUAUACGUAGGUGGGCAAGCGUAUCCGGGAUUAUUGGGCGUAAAGCGCGCGUAGCGGUUUUUUAGUCUGAUGUGAAAGCCCACGGCUCAACCGUGGAGGGUCAUUGGAAACUGGAAAACUUGAGUGCAGAAGAGGAAAGUGGAAUUCCAUGUGUAGCGGUGAAAUGCGCAGAGAUAUGGAGGAACACCAGUGGCGAAGGCGACUUUCUGGUCUGUAACUGACGCUGAUGUGCGAAAGCGUGGGGAUCAAACAGGAUUAGAUACCCUGGUAGUCCACGCCGUAAACGAUGAGUGCUAAGUGUUAGGGGGUUUCCGCCCCUUAGUGCUGCAGCUAACGCAUUAAGCACUCCGCCUGGGGAGUACGACCGCAAGGUUGAAACUCAAAGGAAUUGACGGGGACCCGCACAAGCGGUGGAGCAUGUGGUUUAAUUCGAAGCAACGCGAAGAACCUUACCAAAUCUUGACAUCCUUUGACAACUCUAGAGAUAGAGCCUUCCCCUUCGGGGGACAAAGUGACAGGUGGUGCAUGGUUGUCGUCAGCUCGUGUCGUGAGAUGUUGGGUUAAGUCCCGCAACGAGCGCAACCCUUAAGCUUAGUUGCCAUCAUUAAAUUGGGCACUCUAAGUUGACUGCCGGUGACAAACCGGAGGAAGGUGGGGAUGACGUCAAAUCAUCAUGCCCCUUAUGAUUUGGGCUACACACGUGCUACAAUGGACAAUACAAAGGGCAGCGAAACCGCGAGGUCAAGCAAAUCCCAUAAAGUUGUUCUCAGUUCGGAUUGUAGUCUGCAACUCGACUACAUGAAGCUGGAAUCGCUAGUAAUCGUAGAUCAGCAUGCUACGGUGAAUACGUUCCCGGGUCU